CCGCGAUCCGGGAUAACCAAGGCCGCCAGGAAGGCCCGGACACUGGAUCACGAGGCCUUUGGAUUCGGAUUCCGUGCGGGCGUGGAAUCUGGAGCGGGUGAGCGCCAAGGAAAUCCGGAAUCUGGAUGUGGAGCCCAAUCCUGGGUCUCGGAAUGCGCGGUCGGUCAAGACGAGCCCGGAUUAGAGUUGUGGCUCGUGAAUGCUGGAAAACCCAGCGAGCUGGUUAAGAGAUCAAGUCAGGGAAACAUAGGUUGGACAGCCUGAACCGAACGCUCUUUACGUGCAGAGAGAAAGUCUCGCUGGACCGGACUUAACGCCUCAAGUACCUGGAGUAGACCUGAUGCUAGAUGACUGCAAACUUUCCAGUCUGCACUGUAUGAUGAUACAGGUGAAGACCGAGCUACUCAGUAGAGAAAGAACAGUUUGAUGUUUUAAAUUUACAUGUGACAAGUGACCAGAAAAAGAAUACCGCAUGUGUGCAUCACCAGAAACAAGAAUCUAGCAAGUUUUCCCUGAGAAUCCAGAGUGACCCUGCAGUAGGAGCGCCUCAAGCUAUGCACCAAGCGGGGUUCACAGUUGAGUGAACAUCAAUGUAUAAUGAGUGGAAGCAUUUCAAUGCAAAUACACACUGAAUAUGAAGAAUUAAAGAAAGGGGAAAUUAAUCUUUUUCAUAACACAGGGCACUUUUUUUCUCAUCUUCAUUUUUAAAUCAUGCACACAACUGCUGGAGGGAGUCCAACUUCCCCAAUGUGGUAGUGUUGUUUUAAAAAAAAGCAGAACAUACAUAUUUAAGACCAUGAAUUUCCUUAGGAUGCCAGCAACUGAGAUUCUGAUAGCUCUUCAGAACAGUGUUAGAAACAAAGAUCUUCACUAAGUAGGGCUCAAGGAGAUAGUGAAAAUCUCAUUUCAGAUCUACCCCGUGUUCUAAAGUUCAUAGGUUCUUGAGAUACGGAUGGUUAAAGUAGGUCUGGUUUUCACAUUUGGGGUAUUUGGAUGCAUUUAUUUUUCAAUUUGUUUCUAAUUGCCCAAACCAAGUGAUGCUUUUGCAAUUCCAACAAAUAGGGUAGCUUCAUGCUGAAUUAGCAGGUGGCUCCAUUUCUUCCCAAGCCAAUCCUUCCGUGUCCUGGCUUCUCAAAUUAAAGAACAAAGUGAAAGCACUUGUUCAGGUUACCCACUCCCCCAUCCCCAAAUCUGCCAGAAGGUCACUCAGCUUUUCACUUUUCACUUGAAGAGAUGUAGGACUAGAGCAGAAAACUUCUUAAAAACCUGUUGUUCCAAAACAGGUUUGUAUUAAAUACAGGAUUCCUCAAACAUCCUAAAAUUUUA